rnacentral:rRNA from 1 species
UUUAGUGAGAGUUUGAUCCUGGCUCAGGACGAACGCUGGCGGCGUGCCUAACACAUGCAAGUCGAGCGAGGAA